UCAAUUCUAGUAGCAUAAUUUUUUCUUCCAAAUGAAUAUUAUUAUAACACAACCAAUAUUUCUUCUCUCCAUGAGAUUUACUUCCAUAUAUGUUUGUUAUUCUUAUAAGUUGUGUACUCCUAGUUUGAACUUUAAUCCAGUUUCCAGUUUCCACCAGGUAUCUGUUACUAUAGGCAUUGGGACCUGCUAUAUUAAGGUGGAUGACAAUGUUGUACUUUCUUUUGGGAUCUGGUGUCUCACGAGAUGGACUGGUGCUGCUGAUGGGAGAAAGAUAUGCUUUACAUCAGCGACAUCAAAAUACAGCCAUUUCAGAUGAUAUGCAUGCUUUCCCAGCAAGCUUUGGCUUUAAAGGAGAGGCUCCGAGCUCUAUUUCUGAUGUUUAUUUGUUGGAAUUGAUACCAAAACUCAUGAGAGGCCAAAUGGAUAUCGUAAGGUUUUGAAGGACGGCAAGUGUUUUUGUACCUUGGAAUUGAUGAGUGUAGACAAGAUGAUUGUACAACAUUGAAGAUGACCUGCUUUGCACACGUGCUUCUCCCUCUCCUUGCUGCUGUUGUCCAGUGGGUUUGGGAUUCAUCUGAGUUCCCUUAACAAAAGCGUUGGUGCAUUCAAGCUUUUAGGAUAUAUCUCUGGUCCUGAUGUUUACACAGUGAAGACAAUUUGAAGGUUUUCAUCCAUCGAUGUUCAAUCAAACAUGUUACCUGUUGAGCUAAAGAACUGUUGAUUGGCACGGUGAUUCAGGAGCUUUUCUAUGCACAGAAGCCUGAUUUAUGAUGGAUCAUCUUUUGAUAGUGAUGAAGAUAUUAAGUUUGAAAAAAGUAACUGCAGAAAUAAACAAAAUGGCCUUGAAGAUGAUUAGAGUGUUGAAUUUGAAGUAGCAGCAACCAUGUCUUAAAUCAUAGGUCUCCUAGAGGCAUGGAAAUGGAAAUAUAUUUUGAGAAACUUCUCCAGGUGUAAAACUCAGAGCA